CCUGGUCCCUUGGCAUCGUGGGAAUAGAAAUGGCCACAGGAGAGGCUCCUUAUAUGCAGGAGACCAGUGUCAAGGCCAGCUACCUGAUAGGCAAGCAAGGGGUUCCAAAUCUGCACCAGCUCAGGCUACCCCCUGGCUUGUGUGAAUUUCUGGGCUGCUGCCUGCAGAUGGAUGUGGACAGGCGAGGCUCUGCCAAGGACCUUCUGCAGCAUCCAUUUCUGCAAUCAGCGGAGCCUCUCUUAAGCCUCUUCUGACAGCCUGAUUGCUGCCAUCCCUGCAGCAAGGGAAUGCAGGAAGCAAAGGAGAUGACAAGGACCACUUCAGCACUGGAGAACAGAGCCUCUGAGAGCACGUAGGAAUCCAGAGGAGAGAAGGGCCG